AUUGAACGCUGGCGGCAGGCCUAACACAUGCUAGUCGAGCGGAUGACGGGAGCUUGCUCCUUGAUUCAGCGGCGGACGGGUGAGUAAUGCCUAGGAAUCUGCCUGGUAGUGGGGGACAACGUUUCGAAAGGAACGCUAAUACCGCAUACGUCCUACGGGAGAAAGCAGGGGACCUUCGGGCCUUGCGCUAUCAGAUGAGCCUAGGUCGGAUUAGCUAGUUGGUGGGGUAAUGGCUCACCAAGGCGACGAUCCGUAACUGGUCUGAGAGGAUGAUCAGUCACACUGGAACUGAUACACGGUCCAGACUCCUACGGGAGGCAGCAGUGGGGAAUAUUGGACAAUGGGCGAAAGCCUGAUCCAGCCAUGCCGCGUGUGUGAAGAAGGUCUUCGGAUUGUAAAGCACUUUAAGUUGGGAGGAAGGGCAGUAAGCUAAUACCUUGCUGUUUUGACGUUACCGACGGAAUAAGCACCGGCUAACUCUGUGCCAGCAGCCGCGGUAACAC
rnacentral:rRNA from 1 species